CAAUAGCGUAUAUUAAAGUUGUUGCGGUUAAAAAGCUCGUAGUUGGAUUUCUGCUGAGGAUGACCGGUCCGCCCUGUGGGUGUGCAUCUGGCUCAGCCUUGGCAUCUUCCUGAAGAACGUAGCUGCACUUGACUGUGUGGUGCGGUAUUUAGGACAUUUACUUUGAGGAAAUUAGAGUGUUUCAAGCAAGCGCACGCUUUGAAUACAUUAGCAUGGAAUAAUAAGAUAGGACCUUGGUUCUAUUUUGUUGGUUUCUAGAGCUGAGGUAAUGAUUGAUAGGGAUAGUUGGGGGCAUUCGUAUUUAACUGUCAGAGGUGAAAUUCUUGGAUUUGUUAAAGACGGACUACUGUGAAAGCAUUUGCCAAGGAUGUUUUCAUUGA
rnacentral:rRNA from 1 species